rnacentral:rRNA from 1 species
GUCUUCUUGAUUUUAUAGGAAGUCUGACCUGCCCGGUGAAUAAGUAUUUAACGGCCGCGGUAUUUUGACCGUGCAAAGGUAGCAUAAUCAUUAGUCUUUUAAUAGAGGGCUGGAAUGAAGGGUUUGACGAAAUGCUUACUGUCUCAUUUAAUUUGAAAUUUGAAUUUAACUUUUUAGUUAAAAGGCUAAAUUGUUGUUGGAAGACGAGAAGACCCUAUAGAGCUUUAUAUUUUAAAAUUUAAAGAAUUUUUGUUUAAUUAUUAUUUUUUAAAUGGAGACUUAUUUUGUUGGGGUGACAAAAACAUAUAAUAAACUUUUUUAUUUAGAUAACAUUGAUUUAUGAAUAUUAGAUCCAUUAUUAUUGAUUGAUAGAGAAAGUUACCUUAGGGAUAACAGCGUAAUCUUCCUUCAGAGUUCAAAUUUACAGGAAGGCUUGCGACCUCGAUGUUGGAUUAAGAUAAUAAUUAGGUGUAGCCGCUUAAUUAAUAGGUCUGUUCGACCUUUAAAUUCUU